rnacentral:rRNA from 1 species
UACGUAGGGUGCGAGCGUUAAUCGGAAUUACUGGGCGUAAAGCGUGCGCAGGCGGUGCUGUAAGACAGAUGUGAAAUCCCCGGGCUUAACCUGGGAAUGGCAUUUGUGACUGCACGGCUAGAGUGUGUCAGAGGGGGGUAGAAUUCCACGUGUAGCAGUGAAAUGCGUAGAUAUGUGGAGGAAUACCGAUGGCGAAGGCAGCCCCCUGGGAUAACACUGACGCUCAUGCACGAAAGCGUGGGGAGCAAACAGG